AUCAACAUGUGUACAAUGGUACAGUAGGUUGGUAAUCAAGUUGUGUAUUUAUGGUUCAAAAAAUAAAAUCAAGUUGUGUAUUCUCAUGCAUAACUAAAAGUACUACAUAGAAUCUGAGUUUUCUGUACUAGUUGCGCAAAUAUGAACAAAUAAAUACAAUAUGCACUCAACUAUCUACAGAUGCAUCUUAAACUAUCACUCCAAGCUCCAGAUGACGAUCACACCCGAAUAGCCAACCCACAGGCCGUAGGCCCUGCAUUAAGAAUCUCUUUCUUGAUAUUUGGGGAUGAACGAACCAAAUUUCCAAUGGCACUGACUUAAUACGGCAACAAACUAAAUGUCUAAUUACUAUUUGUUGACACCCCCUUCAACAAAGACAACAUACAUAUGGUUAGUUCAUAGAUUAAGGGGGUUCCAUACAAGAUUGUCAUCACAUAUGUUUGAUCCUGAAAAUAACUUGAAAAAGAUAGUCUUCCUUGGCACUGAGCAAAAGUGCGAAGAUGUAUAGAACUGACAGAAGUAUUGAUUGGAAAACAGAGGCAAAAAAUGAGACUGUUUUCAUACAAUUCAAUAGCUUUAUAUAAUCGUUUGAAUUUCAUUCUGCGGGUUAACUAGAUGACAGCUCUGUCCAGCUGUAUGCUUCGCAAAGCUAUAAACAUGACUCAAUUUCAGUCGGUAACGCACUCUGAUGUAAAAACUAUCAAAUAAAUCAAAAUGAUAUUGCAACCAACUGCUCUCUGACUUAAAAGUGCAGCUUCUUGUUCAUAAAAGCUACUGAAAAUUCAGGGAUGAUGUGUGUGGGACACGGUUAAAAAGGAUUAUAAAUAGCUGGGCACAAAUUGCCAAUCCUCGUCACCAAAUAGAUAACGGGAGACUUAAGCAAGCAUUCCAUUAGUUAGAUAUAAUUCUUCCAUGUAGAUAUCUCAGUCUCCAAAAACAAAUAUGAACGUCGUUAUGUUAUCGAAGAUGAAGUUAUAGAAGAAAUAUGUGCUGGUAAGUUUGAUCAACUUGGUUACCUGAAACUUACUUGAGAAAUGCAUGUUCUGUUCCUUGUUAACGUUACAAAAGGUACAAUGCCCCAAUUUGGUUUAAACAAAAGAUCAAAGAGUGUUAGUAAAGUUAAAUGAACAGUUACACUUGACUAAUGUCUCAGUGAAACUUAACGCAAUUGCCAAAAUGAUUAUUUAAUGGAGAGCAGAACUCCAAAACAAAACAAAAAUUCAAGAGGGCAUUAACUUACCAUGUUGAGUACCUUGCUUCUCAGCUAUACUCCCCAGCCUUUCAUCAAGACAUUAAAUUCCAAGUCUAGCAUUACAAUUUGUUGAGUAAGAGAGAGCCUUCAUUUCAGCAGACACUCAU
rnacentral:lncRNA from 1 species